rnacentral:rRNA from 1 species
AGAGUUUGAUCCUGGCUCAGAACGAACGCUGGCGGCGUGCCUAAUACAUGCAAGUCGAACGAGAAAGUGGCUUCGGUCAUGAGUAAAGUGGCAGACGGGUGAGUAAUACAUAGGUAACCUUCCCUCAAGAUGGGGAUAACCUUCCGAAAGGAGGGCUAAUACCGAAUGAGACCACAGGUACCCUGGUGCAAGGGGUUAAA